rnacentral:lncRNA from 1 species
UGUAAAGACCUCGUACAAAGCAUUGGAGAAGCUAGCACAUUUCUUUGUGAACAAGACAUGCUUGUGUCUUAUGAGUCUAAGGGGCAUCUAAGACUCACAAAGCAUGAUACUCGCGUGGUGGCUAAAUACCUACAACUCAUAAAAGGUAUUACCAAUGAACUUCCUCUUGCUAAUAUUCUAAUUAAUAAGGAUGAUUUGAUUCCACAUACUCUCGGUGGUCUAGGACUGAAAUUCAAGGA